CCCUGACCUCAAAAUCGUUUUAACAACAUUGCACAAGGGGGGGGGGGGGGAAGCAUUGUUACAGCAAGGAGAGGGCCAAUAAACUGCUUGUCUCAAGAAUUUUUGCACGCGAUUGUCUUAGCAGAGGCCUCAUUGUGUUCACAAACUUAAUUAAAUUUCUGCCAAAAAUUGAACUUAACGCAGUCUCGGGCAAAAUUUUCAUUUUUCGCGCUUUAAGCCCAGUGAUCUAGUUUUCGUGCGAAACUCGCACAAAAAUGGACUCAAAAGACGCAGAAUGGGGGACUGGGUACGAGUAAACAACCGUUUUGAACUGCUUAUUGGAUCCUCUAUGUCUCCUGUUCUAACUUUUCAAUCGGGACUCUGACAUCCAAUUUUUGCAACUUUAAGCAACGCAAUUUUCUACUACGGCAGAAACGGACAGAUUGACGAACGCGAAACAGAAAUUAUCUGGUUUGUUUGGUGGAGGGUCUUUGAG